rnacentral:lncRNA from 1 species
ACCUCAUCCAUCCUCUUGUUUGUGUACUGGCGUGUACGCCACGUACGCCCAUGUUUUGCUCUCGUUGAUCGAUCUUGUCAAGUUUAAUAAGGAUGCAUCAGGUUUUUGAAUGUUUAACAUCUCCAUGAAACGAGUUCUUGAGUUUGCACAUGUUUACACCCGUUCCAGCAGCAUGAUUACCCGGGCUCACGAUGAGCCGAGACCAUCCAGAGCCUCCUGGCACUCAGUUUGGUACAAACAGGCAAUUUGCAUUCUCUCAUCUUCCUGGCAGCAAUUGACUCUUCGUUUGCAUUUUCAAACUUCACGAGCAGCUCGAAACUUUGUGAAUUCCAUGUGUUGGAAUGUCGAACUGAUCAGCUCGAUCGAUCAUCAUGUUUGGGAGAGAGCACCACACCCAGCCCAACUUUGACCUCUUCCUGGACACAUUUCUUGGUUCGGACAGCACCAAAAAACUUCCAGAAUUUUCAAUCCAAUUCUUCGUUCCAGGAAAUACUAGAUAACAAUUGCAUAGUGCAUCGAAGAAUCAUCUGAAAUUAGGAUCAAAUUCGAUAUGAGAGGUAGAACAAGCCAACUUGUAUCACCUGGUAGACUUUCCCCAACCACAUGAACAAGCAAUGAUCACUCUAUUGCAAAAUCAUCCGAAUUCAAGCGUGACAACCCAAAUGCAGCAGCUGGGAAGCCUUCCCCAUGUCCACACCUACCGGAGCACGGCGGUUUUCCGGCAAGCCGUCCGGCCACCGCGCCGGCAAACAGUGCAAAGCCCGGCUGAACUCACACACCACCAGCAAAGGUCUCCACAAGUUGUGCAACUUGGGUCGUGUUCCAUCGCCUCGUAGCCUAUCAAAACUACGUUGGAUCGACGUGUUUCCGGCACCUACGUGUUGCUACAUUAACCAGAUACAUGACCGCGCCGGAAAAUCUCAUUGUUCGCCGGUGCAGCCAGUGCCGGCGGCCGGAAAUCUCCACCAAACUCCGACAAAAGCACCAUCCCGACCAGUCCCUGAUCACCGGCUGAUUUCUCCGUGAAUACUCGACCAAAUCACACGAACUUGAUCUCAUUACAAAGCCAUGAUCCUUGCCUACACGAUGGAAAAAAUUACACUCGAAUCGGUGGAUUCGAUGGAGCGAUAUUUGAUCGGAAAUCGAGAGGAGAAGCACACUCUGGAAGUCUGGAGGCUGGUUCGCGAGACGGCCGGCCAACUGGGGGUGGGGGGGCUUCAAUCCGCGGCACCCGAUGCGGCGCGUGGACAGCCGUCGGAUGGAAACGGAUCGGACGCGCCAGGUUUGAUGACGGCCGCCAGGGGGGCGAUCCGUGGCUACGCCCCCUAGACCAAUCAGCGCACGGCGUUCGGGCCUCGCCCGUCUUCCCGACGUCUCCCGCUAUAUAACCAGCGCCUCCUCCGCCCUGACAUCCUCACCCAGCUCUCACCCGCAUCUCCCUCACCUCCGGCGAAAGACACACCAGCGCGCUCUCCUCGCUCUCCCGCAGCAAUGUCGACCGACGCAGCCGCCGACAUCCCGGUGCCUCAGGUGGAGGCGACCGCCGACCCCGUCGUGGAGACCACGGCUGACGCCGCCGCCGGCGACGCGAAACCGGCCAAGGCGACCAAGGCCAAGGCCGCCAAGACGCCCAAGGCCAAGAAGCCCUCCGCCCCGAGGAAGCCCAAGGCCGCCCCCGCCCACCCGACCUACGCUGAGGUAAACCCCUCGACCACCGCCGAAUCUCGCUGCAUUCGGUCUCUGUUCGUUCUCUGUUUGCCUUGGUCUGACUGGCUUUGUUCGUUCGUGCUUUGUGUGUGCGCAGAUGGUGUCGGAGGCGAUCACCGCGCUCAAGGAGAGGGGCGGGUCGAGCACCGUCGCCAUCGGCAAGUUCAUCGAGGACAAGCACAAGGCGCACCUCCCGGCCAACUUCCGCAAGAUCAUGCUGACGCAGAUCAAGAAGCUGGUCGCCGCCGGCAAGCUGACCAAGGUCAAGGCCUCCUACAAGCUCGCCAAGGCCCCCGCAGCCCCCAAGAAGCCCAAGACCAAGGCGCCAGCCAAGAAGAAGCCCGCCGCGAAGAAGAAGGCGCCGGCCAAGAAGACCACCGCCAAGUCCCCUGCCAAGAAGAAGGCGCCGGCCAAGAAGACCACCGCCAAGGCCCCAGCCAAGACCAAGGCCGCCGCCAAGCCCAAGGCGGCAGCGAAGCCCAAGGCAGCCGCCAAGAAGGCACCAGCCAAGACCACCAAGGCCGCCGCCAAGCCCAAGCCGGCCGCCAAGACGAAGGCUGCUGCCAAGCCGAAGGGCCGCCCCGCCAAGGCCGCCAAGACCUCCGCCAAGGACGCACCAGGGAAGAAGGCGGCGGCACCCGCUACCCCCAAGAAGCCAGCCGCCAGGAAGCCGCCCACCAAGCGGUCGGCGCCGGUGAAGAAGGCCACGC